UAAGGAAUAUUGGUCAAUGGACGCAAGUCUGAACCAGCCAUGCCGCGUGAAGGAUGAAGGUCCUCUGGAUUGUAAACUUCUUUUAUCUGGGACGAAAACGGGAUUUUUAUCUCAAUUGACGGUACCAGAGGAAUAAGCACCGGCUAACUCCGUGCCAGCAGCCGCGGUAAUACGGAGGGUGCGAGCGUUAUCCGGAUUUAAUGGGUUUAAAGGGUGCGUAGUUGGGCUUAUAAGUCAGUGGUGAAAUCUCAGAGCUUAACUUGGAAACUGCCGUUGAUACUAUAGGUCUUGAAUUAUCUGGAGNUAAGCGGAAUAUGUCAUGUAGCGGUGAAAUGCUUAGAUAUGACAUAGAACACCAAUUGCGAAGGCAGCUUACUACAUAUAAAUUGACGCUGAGGCACGAAAGCGUGGGGAUCAAACA
rnacentral:rRNA from 1 species